rnacentral:tRNA from 1 species
GCCUGAUUAGCUCAGCUGGUUAGAGCGUCGUACUAAUAUCCUCAUCAGGAGAUAUCAAGUCAUGCGAAGGUCAACAGUUCAAUCCUGUUAUUGGGCA